rnacentral:rRNA from 1 species
GUGCAGCAGGCGCGAAUACUUUACAAUGUGCGAGAGCACGAUAAGGGAACUCUGAGUGCCUCCUAAGGAGGCUGUUCAGGUGUCUAAAAGCACCUGAAGGAAGGGCUGGGUAAGACCGGUGCCAGCCGCCGCGGUAACACCGGCAGCCCAAGUGGUAGCCACGUUUAUUGGGUCUAAAGCGUCCGUAGCCGGCUGGGUAAGUUCCUUGGGAAAUUUGGCUGCUUAACAGUCAAGCUUUCAGGGAAUACUGCCCGGCUUGGGACCGGGAGAGGUCAGAGGUACUCCAGGGGUAGGGUGAAAUCCAUUAAUCCUUGGGGACCACCGGUAGCGAAGGCGUCUGACCAGACCGGGUCCGACGGUGAGGGACGAAGGCUAGGGGCGCGAACCGGAUUAGAUACCCCGGUAGU